CAGAAAUGUCAAAACGAAGGAGAUUUUGAGCAGAAUCCCCAGAGUUUCUGUUUUUACUACUAAAGCUUGGUUUAUUAUUGAGAUUUUGGAGACUGGAAACACAUCUGGAGUCUAUUUCCAGAUGAAUGCUGGGAGGAACACGCCAUCAUGCAGAUUCUGGCUAUGAUGAUGAUGAUGAUGAUGAUUUUGAUGACAUCAUCACAUUCAGCUCUUGCAGAUCAAAGUUUAACGUGUCAUAAUGAUUACCACAACACCUUCACAUGUGUUUGGGACACCUCAAAACUGGACGUGAUCCCUCCGGUCCAACCCGAGACCGUCUGCUGGAUUCAUGUAACGGUUACGAAGCUGUAAGGAAAAAUGUGACUUCAUAACGUAUUUGGCUUGUGCAUUUACAUUUACAUUUAGUCAUUUAGCAGACGCUUUUAUCCAAAGCGACUUACAAUUGGGGGAUACAUAAAGCGAUUCUUCUUAAGAGGCAAACAGACACAGGAAGUGGUUGUAAUACCAAGUUCUUAGACAUUGUUCAAAUAAGUACAAGCUAGAAAGAGAAGGAAUAAAUAAAGAGAGAGAGUUUUUGUGGCUUGUGAUUAAAUCAGCCUUCAUAUUGUACAGGA
rnacentral:lncRNA from 1 species